UACGAAGGGGGCUAGCGUUGCUCGGAAUUACUGGGCGUAAAGGGCGUGCAGGCGGUCUGUUAAGUGCAGGGUGAAAGCUCCCGGCUCAACUGGGAGAGGUCCUUGCAUACUGGCGGACUUGAGGGGGGUAGAGGAAAGUGGAAUUCCCGGUGUAGUGGUGAUAUGCGUAGAUAUCGGGAGGAACACCUGUGGCGAAGGCGGCUUUCUGGGCCCUACCUGACGCUGAGACGCGAAAGCGUGGGUAGCAAACAGG
rnacentral:rRNA from 1 species